rnacentral:rRNA from 1 species
UUUGAUCCUGGCUCAGAACGAACGCUGGCGGCAGGCCUAACACAUGCAAGUCGAGCGAGAUCUUCGGAUCUAGCGGCGGAWVGGUUAGUAACGCGUGGGAACGUACCCAAAGGUAGGGAAUAGCCACUGGAAACGGUGAGUAAUACCCUAUGUGCUUCGGGGGAAAGAUUUAUCGCCUUUGGAUCGGCCCGCGUUAGAUUAGAUAGUUGGUGGGGUAACGGCCUACCAAGUCUACGAUCUAUAGCUGGUUUUAGAGGAUGAUCAGCAACACUGGGACUGAGACACGGCCCAGACUCUACGGGAGGCAGCAGUGGGGAAUCUUGGACAAUGGGGGCAACCCUGAUCCAGCCAUGCCGCGUGAGUGAUGAAGGCCCUAGGGUCGUAAAGCUCUUUCGCCUGUGAAGAUAAUGACUGUAGCAGGUAAAGAAACCCCGGCUAACUCCGUGCCAGCAGCCGCGGUAAUACGGAGGGGGUUAGCGUUGUUCGGAAUUACUGGGCGUAAAGCGCGCGUAGGCGGACUGGAAAGUUGGGGGUGAAAUCCCAGGGCUCAACCCUGGAACUGCCUCCAAAACUAUCAGUCUAGAGUUCGAGAGAGGUGAGUGGAAUUCCGAGUGUAGAGGUGAAAUUCGUAGAUAUUCGGAGGAACACCAGUGCGAAGCGGCUHACUGGUUUCGAUACUGAC